rnacentral:rRNA from 1 species
AUUGAACGCUGGCGGCAUGCCUUACACAUGCAAGUCGAACGGUAACAGGUUAAGCUGCCGAGUGGCGAACGGGUGAGUAAUGUAUCGGAACGUGCCCAGUCGUGGGGGAUAACUGCUCGAAAGAGCAGCUAAUACCGCAUACGACCUGAGGGUGAAAGCGGGGGAUCGCAAGACCUCGCGCGAUUGGAGCGGCCGAUAUCAGAAUAGGUAGUUGGUGAGGUAAAGGCUCACCAAGCCGACGAUCUGUAGCUGGUCUGAGAGGACGACAAGCCACACUGGGACUGAGACACGGCCCAGACUCCUACGGGAGGCAGCAGUGGGGAAUUUUGCACCAUGGGCGCAAGCCUGACCCAGCCAUGCCGCGGGCGGGAAGAAGGACUUCGGGUUGUAAACCGCUUUUGUCAGGGAAGAAAAGGUUCUGUCUUAUACCUGGGACUCAUGACGGUACCUGAAGAAUAAGCACCGGCUAACUCCGUG